rnacentral:SRP_RNA from 1 species
AACCGGGUACCGGUUAACAUAUUAGUGCCUAAUCCCGUCAGGUCCGGAAGGAAGCAGCGGUAAGUACGAAGUAUGUGUAACCGUCUGCCCGGUUUUU